rnacentral:rRNA from 1 species
CCUACGGGUGGCUGCAGUGAGGAAUAUUGGUCAAUGGCCGGAAGGCUGAACCAGCCAAGCCGCGUGAAGGACGAAGGUGCCAAGCAUUGUAAACUUCUUUUGUCAGGGGACAAAAUCAGUCUCGAUAGCCUGAUCGCCGUUCCUUGAGGAAAAGGCAUCGGCUAACUCCGUGCCAGCAGCCGCGGUAAUCCGGAGGAUGCGAGCGUUAUCCGGAUUUAUUGGGUUUAAAGGGUGCGUAGGCGGGAUGUUAAGUCAGCGGUAAAAGCCCGGGGCUCAACCCCGACGAGCCGUUGAAACUGGGGGUCUUGAGAUGUCGAGAGGUAGGCGGAAUGCGCAGUGUAGCGGUGAAAUGCUUAGAUAUUGCGCAGAACUCCGAUUGCGAAGGCAGCAUACCGGCGGCGAUCUGACGCUGAGGCACGAAAGCGUGGGUAUCGAACAGGAUUAGAUACCCUGGUAGUC